rnacentral:rRNA from 8 species
AUAGGGAAGCCGUAGAGAAAUCGAGUCCGAAUAGGGCGAUCAGUCGCUGGGUGUAGACCCGAAACCAAGUGAUCUACUCAUGGCCAGGAUGAAGGUGCGGUAACACGCCCUGGAGGUCCGAACCCACUAAUGUUGAAAAAUUAGGGGAUGAGCUGUGGGUAGGGGUGAAAGGCUAAACAAACUUGGAAAUAGCUGGUUCUCUCCGAAAACUAUUUAGGUAGUGCCUCAAGUAUCACCAUCGGGGGUAGAGCACUGUUAUGGCUAGGGGGUCAUUGCGACUUACCAAACCAUUGCAAACUCCGAAUACCGAUGAGUGCGAGCUUGGGAGACAGACGUCGGGUGCUAACGUCCGGCGUCAAGAGGGAAACAACCCAGACCGCCAGCUAAGGUCCCAAAGAUUGGCUAAGUGGAAAACGAAGUGGGAAGGCUAAAACAGUCAGGAUGUUGGCUUAGAAGCAGCCAUCAUUUAAAGAAAGCGUAAUAGCUCACUGAUCGAGUCGUCCUGCGCGGAAGAUGUAACGGGGCUAAGCCAGUCACCGAAGCUGCGGAUAU